GUCCCUAUCGUCUAGAGGCCUAGGACAUCGCCCUUUCACGGCGGUAAACGGGGUUCGAAUCCCCGUAGGGACGCCA
rnacentral:tRNA from 3 species